rnacentral:rRNA from 1 species
UGGGGAAUCUUGGACAAUGGGCGCAAGCCUGAUCCAGCGACGCCGCGUGAGUGAUGAAGGCCUUCGGGUUGUAAAGCUCUGUGGGGAGAGAAGAACACGUUAUGGUCGAACAGGCCAUGACCUUGACGGUAUCUCCUUAGCAAGCACCGGCUAACUCUGUGCCAGCAGCCGCGGUAAGACAGAGGGUGCAAACGUUGCUCGGAAUUACUGGGCGUAAAGCGCGUGUAGGCCGACCGGAAAGUUGGGCGUGAAAGCCCUGGGCUCAACCCAGGAAUUGCACUCAAAACUACCGGUCUCGAGUGAUGGAGAGGGAAGUGGAAUUCUCAGUGUAGAGGUGAAAUUCGUAGAUAUCGAGAGGAACACCAGUGGCGAAGGCGGCUUCCUGGACAUCAACUGACGCUGAGACGCGAAAGCGUGGGGAGCAAACAGGAUUAGAUACCCUGGUAGUCCACGCUGUAAACGAUGAAUGCUAGAUGUCGCGGGUAUUGACCCCCGCGGUGCCGUAGCUAACGCGUUAAGCAUUCCGCCUGGGGAGUACGGUCGCAAGACUAA